rnacentral:rRNA from 1 species
CACCAUUCAAGCCUGGCUUGGUGUUGGGCGACGUCCCCUUUGGGGACGCGCUUCGAAACGCUCGGCGGCGUGGCACCGGCUUUAAGCGUAGCAGAAUCUUUCGCUUUGAAAGUUGGGGCCCCGUCUGCCGGAAGACCUACUUAAGGUUGACCUCGGAUCAGGUAGGGAUACCCGCUGAACUUAAGCAUAUCAAUAAGCGGAGGAAAAGAAACCAACAGGGAUUGCCUCAGUAACGGCGAGUGAAGCGGCAACAGCUCAAAUUUGAAAUCUGGCUCUUUCAGGGCCCGAGUUGUAAUUUGUAGAGGAUGCUUCGGCGUCAGCUCCGGUCUAAGUUCCUUGGAACAGGACGUCAUAGAGGGUGAGAAUCCCGUAUGUGAUCGGUUGCCUUUGCCAUGUGAAGCUCCUUCGACGAGUCGAGUUGUUUGGGAAUGCAGCUCUAAAUGGGAGGUAAAUUUCUUCUAAAGCUAAAUACCGGCCAGAGACCGAUAGCGCACAAGUAGAGUGAUCGAAAGAUGAAAAGCACUUUGGAAAGAGAGUCAAAAAGUACGUGAAAUUGUUGAAAGGGAAGCGCUUGCAACCAGACCUGCCUGCAGUUGUUCAUCCGGGCUUUUGCCCGGUGCACUCUUCUGCUGUCAGGCCAGCAUCAGUUCGGGCGGUCGGAUAAAGGCUUUGGGAAUGUAGCUCCUCUCGGGGAGUGUUGUAGCCCGUUGCGAAAUGCGGCCAGCCUGGACUGAGGUCCGCGCUUCGGCUAGGAUGCUGGCGUAAUGGUUGUAAGCGGCCCGUCUUGAAACACGGACC